rnacentral:misc_RNA from 1 species
CACCAAUCAAGCCUCGCUUGGUAUUAGGCCCUCGCCCCCGUCAAGGGAGGCGUGCCUCAAACAUGUCGGCGGAGCCCCAUCGGCCCUAGGCGUAGUAGAAUUUAUCAAACGUCUUUGGGAAGUCGGGACCCCUGCCGCGCAACCAAAACCUUUUUUACCAGGUUGACCUCGGAUCAGGUAGGGAUACCCGCUGAACUUAA